GCUUCGGUAGUGCAGCGGUUCAGCACGCGCUCCAGGAUAGAGUGUAAUGUGGGUUCCAAUCUCACCUGAGGCA